AGAGACAGCAGCCGCCGCGGUAAUACGGAGGGUGCAAGCGUUAAUCGGAAUUACUGGGCGUAAAGCGCACGCAGGCGGUCUGACAAGUCAGAUGUGAAAUCCCCGGGCUUAACCUGGGAACUGCAUUUGAAACUGUCAGGCUGGAGUCUUGUAGAGGGGGGUGGAAUUCCAGGUGUAGCGGUGAAAUGCGUAGAGAUCUGGAGGAAUACCGGUGGCGAAGGCGGCCCCCUGGACAAAGACUGACGCUCAGGUGCGAAAGCGUGGGGAGCAAACAGGAUUAGAUACCCGUGUAGUCCCUGUCUCUUAUAC
rnacentral:rRNA from 1 species